CGGCCGCCUCUGAGCAUGCCCAGUGCCGCCGUGGGCGAGCCCGAGCGCCCUGGCCCGGGGCAGAGAGCUGCUGCGGGGGGCCGGAGACCCGCCCCGGGCUGGGGACUGCAGAAGUGGGGCUAGGGUAGGGAGGGACGAGCAAGUGCCGCGGAGGGGGCCCUAGAGCAAAGGGCCAAGGGGGGAUAAAAUAAACGGUGUGCGGAAGGCAACGCCAAGUUUCACGGGUUGUGAGAAGUUUGUGGGCUGGAAAGGUCAACAAUGCAGUCUUUGCCUUAAUGAGACACCUGGGACUUACCUCUCUGCCCUGGAUCACUGUCACAGCAGUUAAAAAAAUAACCUGAGACAAUAUAUGAGCAAAGAAAAAUUCUUAUGAGAAGACAUACAAGCAGUUGAUAGACAUUUGGAGCUUGUUAAAAUUCACAGGAAGAAGAGCAAGGAUAAAACCCAGCCUUCAGAGGCAUCAGCUGGCCAGACAGAGACUAAGAAGCAAGCAUCGGUCCGUGACCGAAGCAGAGGGCAAGAUUGCUAGCUGGCUUUGGGUGCCCUGUGAGAAGAGAGACCCCAGGCAUUCAAGAGGCCUAGACAGAGGAGAUGAGAACAGGUGGUAAUUCGCCUUCUUGGGAUACUAUGAAUGAUUGGAAGUUCACUGCUCUUCACACCUGACUGUCAGAGGCCUGAAGAAUAAGAAAUCAAUGGCCACCGUUUGUCCCCUCAGUGUCCUGACUGGAGAAGAGGUCACCUCUGUGUUGGGAGAGUCACCGUAUAUGCACAGACUUGAUCUGAAAUGCUGGUUGGAUACAAUGGUGAGGGAGUAUUUUGAGAGAACCCCUCAAAGUUCCAGCAGAAUCUAAAGGGAAAACCUGGAUCCUUGGUGAAUUUGCUGAGUUGUUGGACCAAACUUAAGGCCACUUAAUUUUUGAUUUCUUAAGGAAAAAAGUAUCUUCUGCUACUGAGGUUUGUGGUUUAAUGAGAAGCGAACAUUUCUAAUGGAAAUACAUAGCUCUUGAAACUUCUUAAACUCCUUUCCUUGCUUCUGAAACAAGAACACUGCACAACUGAGAAUUCUCCCCCAGCAGCAGCAUCAGGGUCAGAGUUCAGGAAGUCAGCAGGUGGAGGGGAGCUCCAGCAGCAAGGAAAAGGGGAAAAAGAAGGGCAAACAGGGGGAAGUGUUGAUUUCUUUGCAAGCUGAGGAUUGUCUACAAAGUUCUCCUAGAAAGAAGAUGCAGAAAUCAUGCACUAGUCCCAGAGGGUUUCAUUUGACUGGUGUCUCCCACCCUGUCUUCUUGGGGCCAGUAGACCUGUCGGGACAUGCUGAGUCAGGUGAUGACAGAAGUUCAGAGAUCAAAUCAAUAGUUUAUCAUCACUGGCCUAACUGGCAAGAGCUGUUUCCUCUUCAUUCAUCUUCCAAAGCAUUUUUUGGAAAAGCUGGGGGAGGGGCUAUGACU